ensembl:lncRNA
CCCGCCUACUACAGUCUAAAGAUGAGACUGUAUCAGAAAUUCAGAAUUGAUGCAGAUGAGCUAUUAUAGUUCCGCGUAGCUGUUAUUUUAAACAAUGUUUAACAGUGUUUAUGUGAAAAUGUAAUUGCGUAGCUUAACGCAGUUUGAAGCAAGGAUACUAAGAGGACGUGGACAUGUGUUUAUUACUAGUUAAUUAAUUGUUAGUUAAUGUUCGCUGUUUAAAUUCAUUUAAAUUGUCGCACUUUCACACAUCCCAAUGGAUCAAAUCACCUCCAGUGCAUCCUUUAUUACUAUUAUUAUUAGGAUUGUUUGAAAUAAAUCGACUCACCAUAUUGAAGUUUUACGGCAGGUUUAUUUACAGUGUAAAUAAAUCCACAUAUAAUUGACAUCUAUCAGAUUUGGAACAGAAAUAAAAUCACAUCUCUAUCGCUUGCUCAGAUCAUACCGUCAAAGAAUGCCGAACGGAUUUUGUUUUCUAUAAACUACGAUUUGUGCACCGGUGCGUGGCUAAUCCAAGUCAUUCCUAUUUCAUGCCCUUGUAGUGAGCAGGCGUCAGUACGGCCACGUCACACAGGAAUGGAACGUGUGGUACGUCAGUGUGUGGUACGUCAGUGUGUGGUACGUCAGUGUGCAGCGUGGUGUAUUUACAUUAACCUACUCAGCUACAGUCAGGGUUAAAGCGUCUCACUGACAGCUGAAGCAGUCUGUCCUGAAGGAUCGGCGCGGUGCGACUCGCUGUGUGUCCAGUCCUAACACUAACUACGCUCCAUGUUCACUGUGAAGAGUGAAGAGAAGAAACCCAGAAGAGCUUCGGCACUGUUAUCUCUCACACACACACACACACACAAACACACACACAGUACUGUUUUGCUUUAACCCUGGGAAAGCGGUGGGGGGGGGGGGGGGGGGGGGCUGCAGUGUGGGAGAGGCCCGCUCUUCUCCAGCUGCUUCGCCGUGUGUGUGUGUGUGUGUGUGUGUGUGUGUGUGUCAGCAGCAUGUCUAGUCCAUGAGUGUCCUGUCUUCAGGACCCUUCGUUAGGCUG